GCGGCUGGGUUCCUUCCGCGGGACGGGGAGAAAGAGAGAGCGUGAAAGAGAGAGGAUGUCUCUCUCAGACUGGCACCUGGCGGUGAAGCUGGCUGACCAGCCACUUGCUCCAAAGUCUAUUCUUCGGUUGCCAGAGACAGAACUGGGAGAAUACUCGCUUGGGGGCUAUAGUAUUUCAUUUCUGAAGCAGCUUAUUGCUGGCAAACUCCAGGAGUCUGUUCCAGACCCUGAGCUGAUUGAUCUGAUCUACUGUGGUCGGAAGGUAAAAGAUGACCAGACACUUGACUUCUAUGACAUUCAACCUGGGUCCACUGUCCAUGUUCUGCAGAAGUCCUGGCCCGAACCUGAUCAGAAACCAGAACCUGUGGACAAAGUGGCUGCCAUGAGAGAGUUCCGGGUGCUGCCAUGAGAGAGUUCCGGGUGCUGCACACUGCCCUGCACAGCAGCUCCUCUUACAGGGAAGCGGUCUUUAAGAUGUUCAGCAAUAAGGAAUCUCUGGAUCAGAUCAUUGUGGCCACCCCAGGCCUCAGCAGUGACCCCAUUGCUCUUGGGGUUCUCCAGGACAAGGACCUCUUCUCUGUCUUCGCUGAUCCCAAUAUGCUUGAUACGUUGGUGCCUGCUCACCCAGCCCUCGUCAAUGCCAUUGUCCUGGUUCUGCACUCAGUAGCAGGCAGUGCCCCGAUGCCAGGGACUGACUCCUCUUCCCGGAGCAUGCCCUCCAGCUCAUACCGGGAUAUGACAGGUGGCUUCCUGUUUGAAGGGCUCUCGGAUGAUGAGGACGACUUUCACCCAAACACCAGGUCCACACCCUCUAGCAGUAACCCCAGCUCCCACCCAGCCUCCCUGGGGUACAGUGGAGCUGCUGGGCCCCGGCCCAUCACCCAGAGUGAGCUGGCCACCGCCCUGGCCCUGGCCAGCACUCCAGAGAGCAGCUCUCACACACCGACUCCUGGCACCCAGUCAGGGACACCCAUCACCAGUGAUCUCUUCAGCCAAGCCCUACAGCAUGCCCUUCAGGCCUCUGGGCAGCCCAGCCUUCAGAGCCAGUGGCAACCCCAGCUACAGCAGCUAUGUGACAUGGGCAUCCAGGACAAUGAGCUGAGACUGCGGGCCCUGCAGGCCACUGGUGGGGACAUCCAGGCAGCCCUGGAGCUCAUCUUUGCUGGAGGAGCCCCAUGA